GCCGAGCUAGCCAAGGUGGUCACGGCGCGCCCCUGAAGAGGGUGAGAUCUCGGUUCGACUCCGAGGCUCGGCA
rfam:Candidate division WWE3 bacterium RIFCSPLOWO2_01_FTLL_53_14 rifcsplowo2_01_scaffold_8700, whole genome shotgun sequence.